rnacentral:lncRNA from 1 species
GUGGGAGUGCGUAGGCAAUAGUAGGGGAGAGUUCUUUAUUUUUGUCUGAAGUUUCUUUUUCAUGGUGUUGAGUGAUGUUUAUGAUUUCGGAUAGAUAGUUUUUAGUAUUAUCUUGUGGCUAGCAGUGUUAGUUUAUUUUUGUAUUCUAUACUAGUUUAUAUGUAUUUAUAUUUUUUGUUUAUUAUACUGUUAUCGGUCCUAAGUCGGAG